AUUGAACGCUGGCGGCAUGCUUUACACAUGCAAGUCGAACGGCAGCGCGGGCUUCGGCCUGGCGGCGAGUGGCGAACGGGUGAGUAAUACAUCGGAACGUGCCCAGUAGUGGGGGAUAGCUCGGCGAAAGCCGGAUUAAUACCGCAUACGACCUGAGGGUGAAAGCGGGGGAUCUUCGAACCUCGCGCUCUUGGAGCGGCCGAUGGCAGAUUAGCUAGUUGGUGGGGUAAAGGCCUACCAAGGCGACGAUCUGUAGCUGGUCUGAGAGGACGACCAGCCACACUGGAACUGAGACACGGCCCAGACUCCUACGGGAGGCAGCAGUGGGGAAUUUUGGACAAUGGGCGAAAGCCUGAUCCAGCAAUGCCGCGUGUGUGAUGAAGGCCUUCGGGUUGUAAAGCACUUUUGGCGGGAACGAAAAGGACUGUGCCAAUACCACGGUUCGAUGACGGUACCCGCAGAAUAAGCACCGGCUAACUACGUG
rnacentral:rRNA from 1 species